AAAACGACUCUCGGCAACGGAUAUCUCGGCUCUCGCAUCGAUGAAGAACGUAGCGAAAUGCGAUACUUGGUGUGAAUUGCAGAAUCCCGUGAACCAUCGAGUCUUUGAACGCAAGUUGCGCCCGAAGCCUUCUGGCCGAGGGCACGUCUGCCUGGGCGUCACGCA
rnacentral:rRNA from 5 species